AGAAUGAACGCUAGCGAUAUGCUUAACACAUGCAAGUUGAACGUUGUUUUCGAGUCAAAAUGAAACAAAGUGGCGAACGGGUGCGUAACACGUGGGAAUCUGCCAAACAGUUUGGGCCAAAUCCUGAAUGAAUGAAAGCUAAAAAGCGCUGUUUGAUGAGCCCACGUAGUAUUAGGUAGUUGGUUAGGUAAAAGCUGACCAAGCCUACGAUGCUUAGCUGGUCUUUUCGGAUGAUCAGCCACACUGGGACUGAGACACGGCCCAGACUCCUACGGGAGGCAGCAGUGGGGAAUCUUGGACAAUGGGCGAAAGCCUGAUCCGGCAAUAUGGCGUGAGUGAAGAAGGGCAACGCAGCUUGUAAAAGCUCUUUCAUCGAGUGUGCGAUUGUGACAAGACUUGAAUAAGAAGCCCCGGCUAACUCGCGCCAGCAGCCGC
rnacentral:rRNA from 1 species